UCCGGUGGCGUAUCAUAACACCAGUGCUAGAAGGGGGAUUAUAACCAAGUCAAUCCAGCUCGCAGCAAGCGAGGAUCAACCCAAAUCUAGACAGACAGUGGUGUGUCUCUGAGUUAUGGUUUGUUUUCUUUCUCAGUCAAGCUACCCGUUGUGUCCUAGGCAUUGGAAUAGCGAGGCGAGAGGGGGUUGUCUCUCCCCAGUGCAUCGUCUUCCCCGGAUCAUCUGGCUCAGCGUUGUUUGGACAAUAUCGCGGGCGUUUUGGCACACGUGGAUUAGCAUGACACCUUUCUGCCUCAAAAUGUCAGUUGUUUUGACGGGCGGUGUAGGAGUAAUACCUGUCAAUUAUUGAAUAGACCGUUUUGGAAAUUCAAAGUGACUUGAGUUCUCAUGACGAGUGGACUUAUUUCUACAUACUGCUCUUCCUUCGUCCUGUGUGUGGUGUUUCGUCAAAGCCCAUCAAUUAUUAUUCGCUAACUGAAACUGGCGGUGGGAACAUAAGUGGGAUUAUCUAACUGGAUAAUAGCUAGCUCCGUAUUCACCAAUGGUUCGUGACUGCUGACUGUGUUCGGGUUGAGUUGAGUGUGUAUGGUCAAACAGAUCGAAUCCGAAGACGACUUGUUUCAUCUCAACUUUGCAGUAUUUUGUUCAUGCAGAAUUGCACUAUCGCCAUGUUUUAAUAUUUGUUCAUUUUAAAA